AGAUUGAACGCUGGCGGAAUGCUUUACACAUGCAAGUCGAACGGCAGCACGGGGGCAACCCUGGUGGCGAGUGGCGAACGGGUGAGUAAUACAUCGGAACGUGCCCAGUCGUGGGGGAUAACUACGCGAAAGCGUAGCUAAUACCGCAUACGAACUCUGGUUGAAAGCGGGGGAUCGCAAGACCUCGCGCGAUUGGAGCGGCCGAUGGCAGAUUAGGUAGUUGGUGGGGUAAAGCUCACCAAGCCGACGAUCUGUAGCUGGUCUGAGAGGACGACCAGCCACACUGGGACUGAGACACGGCCCAGACCUCCGUACGGGACGGCGAGCAGGUCGGGGAAUUUUGGGAACAAUGGGGCGACGAAGGCCUAGAUCCAGCCAUUCCGCGUGCAGGAUGAA
rnacentral:rRNA from 1 species